rnacentral:rRNA from 1 species
AACGAACGCUGGCGGCAGGCCUAACACAUGCAAGUCGAACGCACCGCAAGGUGAGUGGCGCACGGGUGAGUAACACGUGGGAAUGUAUCCUUUGGUUCGGAAUAACGUCUGGAAACGGACGCUAAUACCGGAUGAGCCCUAUGGGGGAAAGAUUUAUCGCCGAAGGAGCAGCCCGCGUCUGAUUAGGUAGUUGGUGGGGUAAAGGCCUACCAAGCCGACGAUCAGUAGCUGGUCUGAGAGGAUGAUCAGCCACACUGGGACUGAGACACGGCCCAGACUCCUACGGGAGGCAGCAGUGGGGAAUAUUGGACAAGGGGCGCAAGCCUGAUCCAGCCAUGCCGCGUGAGUGAUGAAGGCCUUCGGGUUGUAAAGCUCUUUCGCACACGACGAUGAUGACGGUAGUGUGAGAAGAAGCCCCGGCUAACUUCGUGCCAGCCGCCGCGGUAAGAC